rnacentral:pre_miRNA from 1 species
GUCACCUGGGCAUCUUGUUAAACGCAGCUUCUGAUUCAGUGGGUCUGGGCUGAGGGCUAAGAUUCUGCAGUUCUAAUAAGCUCCCAGGUGAUGAUAA